ACAAUACUCCCUCCGUCCCGAAUUAGUUGACUCAGAUUUGUCUACAUACGAACAUGACUAACCAUGUUUUAGUGUUAGAUACAUCCGUAUCUAGAUGAAUGUAAGUCAAUUAAUUUGGGACGGAGGGAGUAUAAC
rnacentral:pre_miRNA from 1 species